GGCAGCGGCACGUGAUUUGCAAGGACUGAAUUACCGGUCUCCGGACACGAUCUGGUGGCUGCGAGCUACCACUUUCGCGGGAAGCACCCGGGCUACUGCCGGGAGGGAUCUUAGGAGAGAUCGUAGGACAUCUCCUGGACACCUGCCAUGUCUGAGAAUUUUGCUUCUUGCUCAGAACCAAACAACAACAGCUAUAAAAUCAAAGCCUCUAAUCCUCGAAUGUCGGAGAAGAAAUGUUCGUGGGCCUCCUACAUGACCAACUCCCCAACUCUCAUUGUUAUGAUUGGUUUGCCAGCCCGUGGUAAAACCUACGUGUCCAAGAAACUAACUCGCUACCUCAACUGGAUAGGGGUGCCCACCAAAGUGUUUAAUCUUGGGGUGUACCGACGUGAAGCUGUCAAGUCCUACAAGUCCUAUGACUUCUUUCGGCAUGACAACGAGGAGGCCAUGAAAAUCCGCAGACGGUGUGCACUGGUGGCGCUGCAAGACGUGAAGGCAUAUCUCAGUGAAGAGAACGGGCAGAUCGCGGUGUUUGAUGCCACCAACACCACCCGGGAGAGGAGGGACAUGAUUUUGAACUUUGCCAAGCAGAAUUCCUAUAAGGUCUUCUUUGUGGAAUCUGUCUGUGAUGAUCCCGAUGUCAUUGCUGCCAAUAUCCUGGAGGUAAAAGUGUCGAGCCCUGAUUACCCUGAAAGGAACAGGGAGAACGUGAUGGAGGACUUCCUGAAGAGAAUCGAGUGCUACAAAGUCACCUACCAGCCCCUUGACCCAGACAACUAUGACAAGGAUCGUUCUUUCAUCAAGGUGAUAAAUGUGGGCCAGCGGUUUUUAGUCAAUAGAGUCCAGGACUACAUCCAGAGCAAGAUUGUUUACUACCUCAUGAAUAUCCAUGUCCAGCCUCGAACCAUUUACCUUUGCCGUCAUGGAGAGAGCGAGUUCAAUCUCUUGGGGAAGAUUGGGGGAGACUCUGGCCUCUCGGUGCGGGGAAAGCAGUUUUCCCAGGCCCUACGGACAUUUCUGGAAGAGCAAAAAAUAGCAGACCUCAAAGUGUGGACAAGCCAGUUGAAGAGGACUAUCCAGACUGCAGAAUCUCUGGGGGUGACCUAUGAGCAGUGGAAGAUUCUGAAUGAGAUUGAUGCUGGCGUGUGUGAGGAGAUGACCUACGCAGAGAUUGAGAAGCAGUACCCAGACGAGUUUGCACUUCGGGAUCAAGAGAAGUAUCUGUAUCGAUACCCUGGUGGGGAGCCUGCCUACUUCUCUCCACAGUCAUACCAGGACCUGGUGCAGCGGCUGGAGCCUGUCAUCAUGGAGCUGGAACGCCAGGGCAACGUCCUCGUCAUCUCUCACCAGGCUGUCAUGCGCUGCCUCCUGGCCUACUUCCUGGAUAAGGGCGCAGAUGAGCUACCAUACUUGAAGUGUCCUCUCCAUACCAUCUUCAAACUUACUCCUGUGGCCUACGGGUGCAAAGUGGAAACGAUUAAACUCAACGUGGAAGCUGUGAACACGCACCGAGACAAGCCAACCAACAACUUCCCCAAGAACCAAACCCCUGUAAGGAUGAGAAGGAACAGCUUUACGCCUCUGUCCAGUUCGAAUACAAUAAGGCGUCCAAGAAAUUACAGUGUUGGGAGCCGGCCCCUCAAGCCCCUCAGCCCUCUCCGUGCCCUGGACAUGCAAGAAGGGGCCGACCAGCCGAAGAGCCACGUCAGCAUUCCGCCAGGUCCUGCAGGGGUCAGCCCAGGCUACAGAACAUCUGCAGAGUGCUCUGGAGCUUGCAAGUGGACAUAGGGCAGCGGAGGCCGUGCUGCACACAGAUGCCCCUCUGUAGCAUCCCUCACAUUGCUCUUCCGACGAUGUGGAGGCUGAGGCUAGACUUCUCCGGGGGACUGAGAUCUACUGAAAGCUUCACAGAGGCUAGACCAGGAAGUUCAGUGGGGACUGGACAUUUGAGGCCACCGAAAUGGAUGGCCUCAACAACGUCACCAUGUUUCUUCCCCUCAUGCCUAGUGGGAAUAUCAGUUACACUGAAAAGCUUAACUUCCUGUGCCUCCAAAUGUUGAACAGGUUAUAUCUCAUUGCUGAGUUUGGCCCUGGUUGGCCAGUCUCAUUCUGUUCAGGCAUUUAAUGCCCUGCCUGUGACUCGCUGUGUUCCUCGUUGGCUGUUCUUGCCUAAAGUGCAAAAACACCUCUUCAGAUUUAGUUGUUAAGUGUGGGAGCUAAACUCCAGGAAGCCUUUUCCAUGUGGUAAGAGCUGGUCUCUACAUCCAUUCCAGGCAAACAGGCUAGAGUUCCACAUACUGAUGCAAGCAGUCACCUUCUGCCAUGCUGGACACAAGACCAGUCACCAGGUGAAUGCAAGGUAGCCGAGCGAUUCAGUCCCUGAAACAUCUCUUCUGCAGAGAUGGGAAGGCAGUGUCAACAGUUGCCUUUUCCUUUAGAGAAGUUUUUCUUGUUCCAUGCCCUUCAGGGCAGGAGCUGGCUGCAAGACCCCCAGAUAGGUACCCAUUGUCUAAGUUCUCUUGUAGAUAAUGUAUUUUCUACCUGAUGCUAUGUGCCUCUCGUAGCUGGAGAAAGCCAGUGUAGUAGUUGGGAAUAAGGACAGGAGAGAAAAGUGGGGUGCCACUUACAUCACAUGAUGUAGUAAGGAAGUAAAGAAGGUCCCCUGAGAACCAGCUCUAGCAGGGAGUUUUUUAAAACUCCCAGGCAGGUGGAGGGGGACCUGCCCUCCUGUGGAGUCCGUUGUCAUGACAUGCUCUCUGAAAACGCUGUGGCUGUGACUUCGAGAACGGCCUUCCAGUGCCUGCCAAGGCCUUGAGGCAUUAGCCCUUUGGUUUCCCUUACAGAUCAGCGAGAUGACUAUUUCCAAGAUCAGUCAUUGUCAAAUGUGCAAGUAUGUCUCUGAAAAUGUGGUUUUCGUAUGUCACUCUUGAGAGUGUGGGAUCCCUGAAGGAUAUCGUAUCUUCCAAGCAACAUCUGUAAAGAACGGUACAUGUUUAGCUUAAAUAUUUUUUUCUUUUCACUCAGUUGCCCACUUACUGGACCAAAGAGUGAGUAGCAAAAAAUAAAAAGAAAAAGAAAGUAAAUAAUGAGAUGAAGCUUCCCCUCAAGUGGUUCUUUUAUACUGUGGAUGAUACAGGACUGUUACCUAAAAUGUGAUGACCUGAGCUGCAGGCGGCUCAGCAUCCAGCCACUAGGAGUUUAUUUAUACACACAGAGCUGCCUUCAGAGAGGCUCCUUACUCUGCUCUGGAGCAGGGGACUUUCAUCUGACUGCUGGUAGCAUGCUGUACUGUAAAUUAAAUUUUGUUCUUGCAAUGCAGGCCUAUUUCUGUAUCUAAAUACACUGUCUUUUAAUGAUUGGACAGUUUUUAUUUGGUUAUUUAUUCUAUC